rnacentral:rRNA from 1 species
GACGAACGCUGGCGGCGUGCUUAACACAUGCAAGUCGAACGGACAGGCCCUGCUUUUGUUGCGUUCUCGAGUGGCGCGCGGGUGAGUAACACGUGAGUAACCUGCCCUUGUCUUUGUGAUAACUUUAGGAAACUGCGGCUCUUACCGGAUAUGAGCUCCUGCUGCAUGGUGUUGGUUGGAAAGUUUCGGCGGUUGGGGAUGGACUCGCGGCUUAUCAGCUUGAUUGUCGGGUAGUUGCUUACCAAGGCUUUGACGGGUAGCCGGCCUGAGAGGGUUACCGGCCACAUUGGGACUGAGAUACGGCCCAGAAUGCUACGGGAGGCAGCAGUGGGGAAUAUUGCACAAUGGGCGGAAGCCUGAUGCAGCAACGCCGCGUGCGGGAUGACGGGCUUCGGGUUGUAAACCGCUUUCGCCUGUGACGAAGCGUGAGUGACGGUAAUGGGUAAAGAAGCACCGGCUAACUACGUG